rnacentral:rRNA from 1 species
GAUCCCGCCAGAUUUAUAUGCUUGUUUAAAAGAUUAAGCCAUGCAAAUGUAAGUAUAAAAGAAUAUUAUGCUUGAGACUGUAGACAGCUUAUUAUAAAAGUUAUAAUUUAUUUGAACGUGGAAACUUAAAACAGUUUCAUCUAUUUAUGUGGAUAACUGUGGGAAAGCUAGAGAUAAUACAUGCAAAAAGGGGAAACCUUAGCAAUAAGGAAUCCUUGCAUUAACUGGCAUUACUUCAAGGGAGUACAACUUUCUUUGAUGAAACACAGUUCACUAAAUAGCAGAGCGAGAUUAAUCGCCGCUUCAUUCAAAUUUCUUAUCUAUCAACUUUCGAUUGUAUGAUAGGGGCAUACAAUGGUUGUAACGGGUGACAGAGAAUAAGGGUUUUAUUCUGGAGAGGGAGCCUAGAGAGAUUGCUACCACUUCCAAGGAAGGCAGCAGGCGCGAAAAUUACCCAAUAAAAAUACUUUGAGGUAGUAACAAAAAAUAACGACUACGUAAAUAGUUGUUAAUAGCAACUAUUGUAGAUUGUAAUGAGUACAAUUUAAAAAAAUUAAUUAGAAUCAACUGGAGGGCAAGUCUGGUGCCAGCAGCCGCGGUAAUUCCAGCUCCAGUAGCGUAUAUUUAAGUUGUUGUAUUUAAAAAGCUCGUAGUUGAAACUUGAAAGCUUAUUUCGAUGGGAGGGUGUUCAAAAGAAUGCUUUUCUGUCAAAGUUUUCAUAUCCAGAACAAUUUAACUCUAAUUGAGAUUGAAAGAUUUUGAUUAGUAAGUUGUUGUUCAUUUUACCAUAAGUAAAAUAGAGUGUUUAAAGCAAGACGUUUGUCUAUUGAAUAAUAGAGUAUGGGAUAAUAAAAGAUGAAAUAGAGAGGAUGUAUUCCUUGUGUUUGGUGUCAAAGCUGAACACGGUCUUCUCUGUUUAAUGAUUAAUAGGGACGAUUGGGGCAAUUAAUAUUUCUACACGACCGGUGAAAUGGGUAGACUGUAGAAAGAUUAACUAAUGCGAAAGCAUUUUGCAAAGGUGUUUUCAUUAAUCAAGAACGAAAGUUAAGGGAUCGAAGAUGAUCAGAUACCGUCGUAGUCUUAACUAUAAACAAUGUCGACAAAAGAUGGG